GCAGUAGUGGUUCAGUGGUAGAAAAUUCUUGCCUUCCAUGCAGGAGACUCAGGUUCGAUUCCCAGCCAAUGCA
rnacentral:tRNA from 1 species